rnacentral:rRNA from 1 species
GAUGAACGCUAGCGGCAGGCCUAACACAUGCAAGUCGAGGGGUAACAGAAAAGCUUGCUUUUGCUGACGACCGGCGCACGGGUGCGUAACGCGUAUGCAACCUACCUCAUACUAGAGAAUAGCCCCUGGAAACGGGGAUUAAUACUCCAUAGUAUCAUUCUUUCGCAUGUUCGAAUGAUUAAAGAACUUCGGUAUGAGAUGGGCAUGCGUCCCAUUAGCUAGUUGGUGAGGUAACGGCUCACCAAGGCGACGAUGGGUAGGGGGCCUGAGAGGGUGAUCCCCCACACUGGUACUGAGACACGGACCAGACUCCUACGGGAGGCAGCAGUGAGGAAUAUUGGUCAAUGGAGGCAACUCUGAACCAGCCAUGCCGCGUGAAGGAUGACGGCCCUAUGGGUUGUAAACUUCUUUUGAAUAGGAAGAAACUUAUCUACGUGUAGAUAACUGACGGUACUAUUAGAAUAAGGAUCGGCUAACUCCGUGCCAGCCGCCGCCGUAACAC